rnacentral:rRNA from 1 species
AUCAUCAUGCCCCUUAUGACCUGGGCUACACACGUGCUACAAUGGACAGAACAAAGGGCAGCGAAACCGCGAGGUUAAGCCAAUCCCACAAAUCUGUUCUCAGUUCGGAUCGCAGUCUGCAACUCGACUGCGUGAAGCUGGAAUCGCUAGUAAUCGCGGAUCAGCAUGCCGCGGUGAAUACGUUCCCGGGCCUUGUACACACCGCCCGUCACACCACGAGAGUUUGUAACACC